rnacentral:rRNA from 1 species
AUACGUAGGGGACAAGCGUUGUCCGGAAUGACUGGGCGUAAAGGGCGCGUAGGCGGUCUAUUAAGUCUGAUGUGAAAGGUACCGGCUCAACCGGUGAAGUGCAUUGGAAACUGGUAGACUUGAGUAUUGGAGAGGCAAGUGGAAUUCCUAGUGUAGCGGUGAAAUGCGUAGAUAUUAGGAGGAACACCAGUGGCGAAGGCGGCUUGCGGGACAAAUACUGACGCUGAGGUGCGAAAGCGUGGGGAGCGAACAGGAUUAGAUACCCUGGUAGUCCACGCCGUAAACGAUGAAUGCUAGGUGUUGGGGAAACUCAGUGCCGCAGUUAACACAAUAAGCAUUCCGCCUGGGGAGUACGACCGCAAGGCUGAAACUCAAAGGAAUUGGCGGGG